UGGGGAAUUUUGCGCAAUGGGCGAGAGCCUGACGCAGCAACGCCGCGUGGGUGAUGAAGGCCUUAGGGUCGUAAACCUCUGUUGUGUGGGAAGAAGAGCGUGACGGUACCACCAGAGGAAGCACCGGCUAACUCCGUGCCAGCAGCCGCGGUAAUACGGAGGGUGCAAGCGUUAUUCGGAAUUACUGGGCGUAAAGCGCGUGUAGGCGGUCCUGCAAGUCUGAUGUGAAAGCCCCGGGCUUAACCCGGGAAGUGCAUUGGAAACUGCAGGUCUUGAGUACUGGAGAGGAUGGGGGAAUUCCCGGUGUAGAGGUGAAAUUCGUAGAGAUCGGGAGGAAUAUCAGUGGCGAAGGCGCCCAUCUGGACGGUAACUGACGCUGAGACGCGAAAGCGUGGGGAGCAAACA
rnacentral:rRNA from 1 species